AGCAAACCUAUCUCCAAUAUUGGUCUUUUUUGUGGUGGGGCAUUUCUUCAUAAAUCCACACUGAGGACUGUGUAUAGAAACGCUGCUCUGUUGCUAGCUAAGGCAGACUUUGCACCCUGACUGGUCAGCUGGAACUUAAGGAAGACAAGAAGGACUGAAGUGAUUUCCUCUCCAUAACGGUGUUAAUAACAUAGAUGACCUGCACUGAGAAGAGGGGCCCUUUGAUGAAAAGAAAUAAUUCUGGUGCGUGAAGAUUUUAUUCCAGAAAAGCCAAACAGAACCACCUAAUAUGGCCCUUACCUUGCUGCCAAAGGAAGGGGCGCCCAUUGGGGCUCCUCAGGUGGGGCCAAUUGGCAGGAAGUUCUGAAGGAAAAGUGUUUAAUUUAGUGUUGCCAUUGGGAGUUAUGGAACUAGGAGGAUAAGGGAAGGACAAUGCAUCCUGGGAUUUCCUCAAAUUGGAGAAGUGGGUGUUUGUAUUUAUAUUUAUAAGAGGCUGAGCUGAACUGUCCAACCUAGAAAGUGCGACUCAAUACACAGCAGUUCAACAGGUGACCAGGACCUGCGUUCUCUGCACGAAUAACUGAGCUUUAAGAAAGAGACUUCAAUCAGGAUUCAGGAAAGAUUUUCCUGCUUUUGCAGUUUAUUGCAGUGAAAUCUGUCCAAUCUAUUGACAGAGCUCCAAAACACACAUGGGUUGGUGCCCUGGUAUGCUUGCAGUGAAGCAUUUGCCAAAAGCUAUUGAAAUUCUCAAUGUGCUUCAAGCAUUGGCAUUCUGUGCAGAAAAUGGUGCCACCUAUCAGUAAGGAGGAGGAAACUGAACAGCAAAAUGAUUUGUUUGAACUGAAGAAACUGCUAUUUUCAUUGCAAGGGUGAUGGUUUUCUACUAAUGAGCAAUUAGUGAGAUGUUUGGCUUGUUCAGAAUGGUCUUGGAAAAUGAGGUUCUGACCUGGCUGGCCACUUCCAGGCUGCAUGAGGGGGACCUGGCCAGGCAAACACUGCAUGUUCUCCUCUUGCAGACCAUAAGGGUAGAGUUCUGAGGAAAGUCUGCUGCCAGGGUGCAAAAUGCAAGUCAGCCAGGUCAGCUGAGGUGCAAAGCACCAGAGGUUAGUAGUUAGUUUUAUUUGUGUAAGUCUGAAUCUAAAGAGAUUUUGAUUGAAAAAAAAUAUGUAUGUUCUUAUAUGGCGUAGGUCAUUCUGAGUCACUCUCCAGAGCAAAAUGUAGGCUUGUAAGUGAUUCAUUUCUCCAUCCCUGUAAGCAUUCAGCUUUUACAGGUUCUUACCUGUAUCUAAGUCCACUGGAGAAAGUUUGUCUUGACGAAGUCUGUAUGCACUGAGAUUUCUCUUAUGGAAAGAAGCAUACAAGGGCUGAAUUCUCCACAAGCCUUAUUCUGUACUGUAUGUACCAUUAAUUAAGAGACCUUUC
rnacentral:lncRNA from 7 species